CCACUGUGACGUAACACGUCAGAAAACGUCAUAGACACCGCCCACUCGGCGAACUGUCUCCGAGCGGAGCCGGGCUGGAUUGGAUUGGACCCCUGGGCGGGAAAGGACGGACGGGUUAAGUAGCCAAUCACCAAUUGCGCUCCAGCCAGAGGGGCGAUGUUCUUGGGGAGCCUGGGGAUCUGGAAGAAGUUCAGUGUGAGGACGAGUGUUAGGAAAUAAGGCUGAAGACAGAGGCAACCCUGGAGGAUCUUCUAACCCAUGUCAAGCAGUUGAGAAUUUAUGGAGUGAAAUAGCAAGCCAUUGAAGAGUUUCAAGCUUUCAUCCAGCUUUUAAGGGAAACUAAUAUCUCAUGAAAUUGUGAGGGCCUGGAAUCUUCAAAGAGCCAAGGAUUCUGCCAGACUGAGCAAUAGACUUGAUGAGCAUUCUCCACUUAAGAUCUGAACUAUGAGAAGUCGAAUCAAAGCAGUUCUUUUGUAAUUCCAAACAGCCAUUUAGACAUAUGAAGAAAUGAAAGUAAAGCAGUUCUAAAGACAAGGAAGAGGGUCAAUGAAAGGUGCUCCCAAUGCAAUCACAAAGAUCUUUAAAAGUGGAAGAAGGUGGGAGAGGUCAGAGUGAUACGAAGAGAACUCAGUCUACCACUGCUGGCUUUGAAGAUGGAAGAAUGGGGCUAUGAGCCCUGGAUUGCGGGCAGCCUGCAGAAGCUGGGGCAGAGAUUCCACACAGGCACCUCUAGAAAAUAAUGCAGCCAGCCAAUCCUUAGACUUUAUCCCAGUGAGAGUCAAGUUGGACUUCUGACCUACAAAAGAGUAAAUAUCUAAAUUAUCUGUGGCAACAACUUGGUGGGGUCAACUCGAAUGUUUUUGUCGGCUGUUCUUGAAGACUUCUGGGUCUCUACAACCACAUUCUUUGGCUGGUGCCAGUGUUUAAGCACUCUGAAACUGCAUAGCAGCAUGUUUGAAGGUGGCCUGUCAAAUUUGGGAAACUGACGGUGUGACUGAGCUAGUCACAGGGGUCUUCACAGAAAAGGCAGUCGGGGUCCUGGUCAACUGGAGAUUCCAUCUGAAUGGAGCUAGCAGACAGGAAAACAAAUUUGUCUUAAAUACCCCAAGUUUAUAGGCUUCUCACCCCUCGGCAGCUGCAACUGGCAAAUCUAGUUUACAGAAAUGGGAGAUGAGGGAGAUGUGCACGUUUUUCACUGUCGGAACUUGAGAGGCAGUGAUGGAAUACUUACGAAGUAGCAGCUCUCGGCAGAUGAGAAGAAUACACCUUGGCAGCUGCUGGAUCAAGGCAAAUGAGAGACCCAUGGAGCUCACUAAAUCCAACUCUACAGCUUGGAGCUAAGCCUAACUUAGCCAAGUCUAAACCAGUUUGACCUCAGCCAAUUCACAGAUGUUUGAGCCAGAAGUAAGGUGCUUGUUGCUGGAAGCCAGUUAAAUUUUGAGAUCUUUUUGAAAAAUAUAUUGUCAUUGCAGACAUAGAUGCACAUAGUUUUCCACACUGUGGGAAGUCAAAUUAAGCAUGCUUAGACUUUUAAAGCAGAAGCCCAUUAUUAGUGGGGUGGCAAAAAUGUUACAAGUGACAUAGUCCUCCAAUUUCCUUCUUCUAGCCCUCUGCCUAAGAACUAGUGUACUUCAUUUUGAAGUGGAGCCCUAACGGGAGUGUUCAUCUUCUGUCAACAGGGUUAAGCCUCUUGACGCUUACUGGGCACUCACAGUUGUUAGUUCCCUGGAAGACAUGAAAGAGCUUGAUUGGUUCUGUAGUCGUCAGUCAAUAACCAACUGUAACAUACCUACACUUCCAACAAAAUCUUGAUUUGGGAAAUUGAGUGUCUGCUUAUAGUUAAUCCUCUAUUUUUUGACACCUAGUAGGAAAAACAUUUUCAAAAGAGCCAUGACCUGACUCAGUUAAUAUGCAAGGAAAAAUAAGCAGUUCCAAACUUGUCAGUUUAUCCAUCAUCCCUUAUCCAAAAUCCUUCAACUCUCUUGGAAUUAUUUUGUUCUUCAUACUUGCCCAACAAAUAUCUUACUCUUGUCUUGGACUUUAUUUUAUAGUUAUCUCACAUAAGCUCCUUGUGGCUAAGGGCACAUAUUUGGAAUCAGACUACCCUAGUUCAACUCUUGGGUCUACCAUUUAUUAGCUUGUAUUACUUUGGGAAAGAUAAUUAAAUUCUCCAGAUCUAAUUUCCCCCAUUAUAAGAUAAUAAUAGUUAUUACCUGCUAGGAUUGUCUUGAGAAGUAAAUUAGAUAAUUCAUAAGAACCAUUUAACACAGUGCCAGCCACAUAAUGAAGGCAUAGUAAGGGAAAGUUAUUAUGCUGUUGAUAAUACUUGUCUAGGCAGGGGUCUCAUAUUUUUCCCUGUAUCCAUUACUGUACAAUUCAUCUGUCCCAUGACAUUCUAAGAUUGUUUUAGAGUGAGUUGCUUCAGAGUUGAAUAAUUCUAAUAAUAUAUUCUCAUGUUUGGAAACAACUUGGAAUUCCAUUUAGUGUAGACAUCAACAAUGAAAUCGCUAGAGGAUGAGUAAUUUCUACAAUUUUUAUUCAUUAUAGAGAGACCAAUGGGUAUAAUGGUGAAAAGAACUGAGUAGAAGGUCAGGAGGUCAAAGAGACUGAGUUUAAACCCUCACUCUGCUGAGUACUGUUAAUAAUGGUAUGAUCUUAAGAGAACUAAUCUUUAGUUUUUCCCACCUUAAAAACAGAGUUGUCAUGAGUAUUUAAUAAUAGAGGGUAGUAUGUAAACUUCCUGGCAUAUAGCAACUGCUCAACAAAUAGAAGUUAUAGUUUUUUCUUAACUUGCCAAAGAGCCAAGGGAAAAAUGAAGAUUUUGUAGCCAAAGCCAUUUAUCUUUCUCUGUUAUGUGCCUAUCUGUUCCAGAAACAGAAUCAAUUCCUUGAACCUCAUCAAAGGAAGGAUUUGAACAUUUAAAAAAAAAUCAAUCUCUUUGGGUUUGUUAUUGCUUGUUUCCCAUACCUCAGAGACACAAAUACAAACCUUUAUAAUGUCAUCAGGAAGAAGAGGAGUCAAACACUCCUUAACUCAAUAAUUGCAAUGUUAUUAUUUUGCAAGGAAUAGAGUCAAAAUUCCAUUCACAUGAGGACUGUAACUUCUUCAUUACUCCUUGAGGCACGAUGUCCUUGAUUUUAAGUAGCUCAUGUAGAAACUAGUUGUAAGUCUUUAGCGGAGAGACUGUACUGGAAUUAUAGGAUCUACUUAGGGGUUUGAGCUUCCCCACCCACUUAGAGUGACAGUUCACACCUAUAAAAACACAAAAGUCCGGGGGUUUAUUAAACAUUAGGAGAUCCAAAGAGCCAAGACUUCUACCUGUAAAAGUGGUGCUUCCUAAGCAGAAGAAAUGGAAUUUCUCAGAGAAUACAGCUUGGCUUGACCAAUGGACUGUACAAGGAAGAUUAGGAGGUAAUUACUGGGGUAAAAGAGAAAUGGUUGCAUCUUUCUGGAACACUCUAAUAAAACUGAAAGUUUUUCCUGAUUUCUUCUUUUAUUUGAUACAAGGGUCAAAUUUGAUACAUAAAGUCAUAAUGUCCCACAUGUACUUCUCAGGAACAUCUGUUUAGUCCUACUACAAAACUUGGGGAACAUGGUUUCCUAAUGUGGUACCAGUCGUCUCUUCAUGGAUGACUUCAGGAAGAAAUUCUGACUGGCAGACUCCACAAGUAUAAGACAAUAAGAGGCCAAUUUCUUUAUUCUUCUCCUCUUCUCCGCUUGUCCCCCCACCUCAUUAGCUUUGGGAGAAUAACACAGUGUGGAACAGAAAAAUAAGGAGCCUUGUUGUACUUCAUUGGCCUCAAGAGGUCUCAUCUAUUAAAUAGAUCCAUUAUGUUACUCUCAGAGAAAAUUAUAGUCAAAAAUAUUUCAAGUUUUAGGGCAGUACUGAAUAUAUAAGGGCUCUGUUACUUAAUCUCUGUGCUCUUAUCUUGGGGCGGCAAAGCUCAGUAGGGCUAUCUUGAAAGUAGCCUGAAAUCAAUUGGUCAGAUGAAAUCAAUUGGUCAGGAGGAGCCCAUCAGGAGGAUCAAGGACAUGGGUGACACAGUGAGUGUAAUUAUUAGUCAGGAUAGGUUAGGUUAGGCAUUAGUGGCAAAUUAUCUCCAAAUCUCAGUGGCUUGGUACAAUAAAGGCUUAUUGCUUAUUCAUGCAGCAUGUCUACUGCAGGUCCACAAGGGCUCUGUUCCACUCACAGAUCCAGAUUGUAACAUUCUUUGCCAUCUCAUAGCUACAUGAUCUAAACAUCAGCAGAAGGAAAGUGUCUUGGGUCAGGCUACCUGGAAAACAGAUCAAGAUAAAGAUUUCUGUGCAAAAAGGUUAUUGGGGAGGGAACUCUAAUUGAUAUCUGCCAGGGAUAGUGCAAGAAUGGUUGAGCAGACAAUUGUUGAACUACUUACUAUGUAUGUAGUAACAACAAAGGUCUUGACCAACCCAAAAGGGAGUCCUGGAGCUCAAAUGGUUCUUCACAGUUCUCUCACCUUAAGGCAAGGGACCUGGGCCUUUAUUAUCCCUUAUCAACCAGUCAUUUGAUUAGCUUGACCCCAGAGAGAGGUUAUGACCUUGAGUAAAGUGGCUCUCCUCUACUGAGGAUAAUUCCAGGAGAGCAACUCAGCUGAGAGCUGUCAGCAAUGGGAGGAAUCAGAGUCUCAGUCCUGAAGAGCAGAUCUGGGCAGCAUAUCAUAGCAUCCACCACAAGGGGGAAAGUGCGUGCACUUUUCAUUGCCUCCACCUGGGAGUGACAUAUGCCAUUUUUUGCUGUCAUUUCAAUGACCAAAAGGAGUCACAUGAUUCUAAUUGGAAGGAACCUGGG
rnacentral:lncRNA from 1 species